rnacentral:hammerhead_ribozyme from 1 species
AUCUAUCUGACGAGUCCAAUGUAGGACGAAACGCGUGUCGUAGAA